rnacentral:rRNA from 1 species
UACGAGAGGCCCAACCGUUAUUCGGAAUUACUGGGCUUAAAGAGUUCGUAGGCGGCGCGGAAAGUAGGGUGUGAAAGCCCUCGGCUCAACCGAGGAAUUGCGCCCUAAACUGCCGUGCUUGAGGAACCUAGAGGUGAGCAGAACAGAUGGUGGAGCGGUGAAAUGCGUUGAUAUCAUCUGGAAUACCGGAGGCGAAGGCGGCUCACUGGGGGUUUUCUGACGCUGAGGAACGAAAGCCAGGGGAGCGAACGGG